AACGAACGCUGGCGGCAUGCCUAACACAUGCAAGUCGAACGAACCCUUCGGGGUUAGUGGCGCACGGGUGCGUAACGCGUGGGAACCUGCCUUUUGGUUCGGAAUAACAGUGAGAAAUUACUGCUAAUACCGGAUAAUGUCUUCGGACCAAAGAUUUAUCGCCAUUAGAUGGGCCCGCGUAAGAUUAGCUAGUUGGUGGGGUAAAGGCCUACCAAGGCGACGAUCUUUAGCUGGUCUGAGAGGAUGAUCAGCCACACUGGGACUGAGACACGGCCCAGACUCCUACGGGAGGCAGCAGUGGGGAAUAUUGGACAAUGGGCGAAAGCCUGAUCCAGCAAUGCCGCGUGAGUGAUGAAGGCCUUAGGGUUGUAAAGCUCUUUUACCCGAGAUGAUAAUGACAGUAUCGGGAGAAUAAGCUCCGGCUAACUCCGUGCCAGCAGCCGCGGUAAU
rnacentral:rRNA from 1 species